UCAUUCAUCUUCUCCUGUAACCUAAUCGCCCUCUUCCUAAAUCCUAAUUGCCCUCUUCCUCACAACAAUAACUCUCUUCUUCUCCCUCUCUGUCACACUAUUCUACUAAAUACAAAGGAGAAUAAUUCUCGAAAGGAUAGAAUUUGGGGCGGCGCCAGGAAAAACAACUUGAGCCUGAAAAAAUUGAAGAUGAGAAGCAUGUCGCACAUUUCGGAAAUGGAGAUA